AUGACCAAGAGUCGUCGCGGCAAGCUCUACAUCGACGAUGCAGGCUGGGGCCCCGACGCCGGCUCAAUUGAGUACGGGUACCGGGUUCCCUUCGGCGGAAUUCACGUCUUCAUCGGCAAGAUCGGUGAGCUGGGCCUUGAGCCGGACAUCUGCACCGACCUCGUCGAAAUGGUUCAGCGUGCGAGACCCGCCCGGGCUUCGCCUGCUGUGAAGCAUGCCUUCGUGGGAUGCAUCCACGGAGGGCUCUCUGAAGGAUCUGCAUCUGACGGUGAGACGGCCAUCUACUCUGAUGGCGGGUCAUCCACAGGUGAGACAGAUUCAUUGUAUCAACUUCAAGAUGGCGGGCUUGGGGGCUGUUCCGAUGGCAGCAGUAUUCCGGAUUGCCUCGAGCCGUCGAGCAGAGUCGGAAUCUUCAUGGCCGGCACACAACCUAUCCAAGACUCCACAACUGCGGCAGCCAUGACCUCCGGGUCAGCGGCAGCCGAGGCAGGAGGCCGUGUGCGCUCGCCGGCUCAGGUGUUGAUGGAUCUCAUCGAAAAGCUGACCACUCUGUUAACCGAUGUGGUCAACCCGACGGAUCAGGCUCGACAUGAUGCGGACGUGGCACAAUUAAAGUUGGAUAUGGUGCAGGCUAAGGAAGACCUAGCAGCGGAAGAUGUCAGGAUAACCGCAGAACAGGCGGCUCUAGAUGUUCAGGCUCAGCGGAUUGAGGCACAGACUUUCCGGCUCACGCAAGAUCAGAAUGCGUCUAAUGAGGUCAUGAGGAGAAGACAUCAGAAGACUCAGUCUCAACUCCCUCCGGUUUAUGAUCCUCGAAACCUCUUUCAUACACCUGGUGCAGGGCCUAGUAACACGUCGUGGCUCUCCCCGCGUACUGAGGCAGACUGGGUUGCAACACCCGGGGUCGGGGCGCCGGUUCAGCCGCAGAUGAUGGGGCCUCCCCGCAUGAACACGGCUCCACCUCAGUAUGUACCAACACCUCCGGGUCACUAUUCUAACCCAUUGGAGAACAUGAUAGCGGCGGCGGCACGGCUGGCGGCUUUCCCAGUUGAUGGCGACUCUCUGGCGACGGUUGAAACCCGCCGGGUCAGAAAACUUCUUUAG
rnacentral:rRNA from 1 species